rnacentral:ncRNA from 23 species
AGAAUGCCGGUGUUACCGAGACCGCAUGGUCAGGUAUGCAUCCGAAAGGUAAAUAAACGGUCGGGGACAGAGGAAGGCUGUGUAAAUCAGCCGCUGUGCCGCAGUCGUGAGUCUACCGUAGUUUUUCUCCAAGGUGGGCAAACCCACCUUCGUCAAGGCUACGGCAGGCAAGCCGGAAACUCUCCCGUACCGCAUCCCGAGCA